GAUGAACGCUGGCGGCGUGCCUAAUACAUGCAAGUCGAGCGAACAGAUGAGGAGCUUGCUCCUCUGACGUUAGCGGCGGACGGGUGAGUAACACGUGGAUAACCUACCUAUAAGACUGGGAUAACUUCGGGAAACCGGAGCUAAUACCGGAUAAUAUAUUGAACCGCAUGGUUCAAUAGUGAAAGACGGUUUUGCUGUCACUUAUAGAUGGAUCCGCGCCGCAUUAGCUAGUUGGUAAGGUAACGGCUUACCAAGGCAACGAUGCGUAGCCGACCUGAGAGGGUGAUCGGCCACACUGGAACUGAGACACGGUCCAUACUCCUGCGGGAGGCAGCAGUAGGGAAUCUUCCGCAAUGGGCGAAAGCCUGACGGAGCAACGCCGCGUGAGUGAUGAAGGUCUUCGGAUCGUAAAACUCUGUUAUUAGGGAAGAACAAAUGUGUAAGUAACUAUGCACGUCUUGACGGUACCUAAUCAGAAAGCCACGGCUAACUACGUG
rnacentral:rRNA from 1 species